rnacentral:snoRNA from 1 species
AUGCUUGGAGUUGCUACUAAGGUUCCAGUGCCAAUGCAAGAAAAAAGGGUCCUGACACUUUCUGUCUGUCCAAUUGUGUCAGCCAAGAUUGAAUGGGGGAGUGCAUUU